UAAAAUGACAUUAUAAAAAUUAAGAUUCUAUUUUAUUAAUUUUGAGUUAAUAAAAUUCACGUCUGAGAAGAGCAACUCAUAGUUUCAGGCUUCAGGUGCUGUGUUCUCCACAUCUCCAUCCCCGAUCUAACGAGAGAACUUGGGCUGGCUCAACUGUGAUGUGCACCAUGGCUCGCGAGAAAGCCAUUGGGCCAAAAGGGUAUAAUAUUAUAGGCUCACCCAAGCAAUUGCCACUUGGAUUGUAUGCUUGGCCACUUGGACCCUUGAACGAAUCAUGAUCACAGAAAAGAUGCUACAGAGACGAUGAUAAGUAGGUCCCUGAGGCAACGAAAAUCGUUGCCCACCACCUCACAAGUCACAAUGCCUACAACAAUCCAAGCAUAGACACUGCUCAAACAAAUUAAGCUGAAUAACAAAAAAAAAAGAUCAAAAACAGGAAGGAAGGCUGAAGAUAGCAGAUGAAUCAUAACAAGCUCAAGUAAUGGCUGCUAUGACAACACCAUCUUCUCACCUCUUCUCCAUUUCACAAUCUCUUUCCCGCCUCUCUCCUCUCCAAUUGUGCGUGCUUGACACCAAAACUCUAGCUUCAUUCCCCAUUAACAAUAGCAGUAAGAAGAAACAUGCUGGUGCUGGUGCUGGUGCUG
rnacentral:misc_RNA from 1 species